CCGAAGCUGUGAACCGAAGCCCCAGUAAACGGCGGCCGUAACUAUAACGGUCCUAAGGUAGCGAAAUUCCUUGUCAGGUAAAUUCUGACCCGCACGAAUGGCGUAACGACUUGGGCGCUGUCUCAACGAGAGAUCCGGUGAAAUUUUAAUACCUGUGAAGAUGCAGGUUACCCGCGACAAGACGGAAAGACCCCAUGGAGCUUUACUGUAACUUGAUAUUGGACUUUGGUACGAUCUGUACAGGAUAGGUGGGAGCCUUUGAAGCAUGAGCGCCAGCUUGUGUGGAGGCAACGUUGGGAUACCACCCUGAUCGUAUCGGAGUUCUAACCUGCUGCCGUGAAACCGGCAGAGGGACCGUGUCAGGUGGACAGUUUGACUGGGGCGGUCGCCUCCUAAAAUGUAACGGAGGCGCCCAAAGGUUCCCUCAGAAUGGUUGGAAAUCAUUCGAAGAGUGCAAAGGCAUAAGGGAGCUUGACUGCGAGACCUACAAGUCGAGCAGGGACGAAAGUCGGGCUUAGUGAUCCGGUGGUACCGAAUGGAAGGGCCAUCGCUCAACGGAUAAAAGCUACCCUGGGGAUAACAGGCUUAUCUCCCCCAAGAGUCCACAUCGACGGGGAGGUUUGGCACCUCGAUGUCGGCUCAUCGCAUCCUGGGGCUGAAGUAGGUCCCAAGGGUUGGGCUGUUCGCCCAUUAAAGCGGUACGCGAGCUGGGUUCAGAACGUCGUGAGACAGUUCGGUCCCUAUCUGUCGCGGGCGCAGGAAAUUUGAGAGGAGCUGUCCUUAGUACGAGAGGACCGGGAUGGACGUACCGCUGGUGUACCAGUUGUUCCGCCAGGAGCACCGCUGGGUAGCCAAGUACGGACGGGAUAAGCGCUGAAAGCAUCUAAGCGUGAAGCCCCCCUCAAGAUGAGAUUUCCCAGUAUGUAAGACCCCUUGAAGACGACGAGGUUGAUAGGUUCGGGGUGGAAGCACAGCAAUGUGUGUAGCUGACGAAUACUAAUCGGUCGAGGGCUUAUCCUA
rnacentral:rRNA from 1 species